AAUAGGAGAGCACAUGGAGCAGUCACUACCGAUUAGUUGAUAACUCAUGACAUCUUACUGUCAAGAAGGCAAAAACUGGGGACCUGAAGAACUUCUGACUAUUUCACCAAUGAACUGGAUUUGGAGUGGUGGAAAAAAGCAGGCAACCAAUAACCAAUACCGUGUACAAUUGUACUGAACCAUGUAGACAGCUGCUGGUCUCAGGGGCAUUAUGCUACUAAGAAAAGAAAGCAGAAGAUCAAAGUGCAGUUAAGUAUCUCAUAAGUAAUUUUCUCCUUGGCCUCUUUGCAUUCAUGAUCAUUUUACUUGCAACAGGAAAUUCAUAGAACACACUAUGAAAUUCAAUAACAUUUUCUUUGGGAGUAUUUCAGCUGAAGCCACCCUAAAAUGUGAUCUCAGUGGUGUGAAGUUUUAUUAUCAGAUUCACAGUGAAGAAUUUGGGAAUGUGCAUUCUUGAACACAAGAACUUCACUAAGAUUUUAAGUAAAAAAAAAAAAA
rnacentral:lncRNA from 1 species